GGGGGUGUAGCUCAGUGGGAGAGUGUUUGACUACAGGCAAAGUGGUCCCUGGUUCAACUCCAAGUGCCCCCA
rfam:Pelodiscus sinensis unplaced genomic scaffold scaffold3077, whole genome shotgun sequence.